ACAUGCAGUCGAGCGGUAGCACAGAGAGCUUGCUCUCGGGUGACGAGCGGCGGACGGGUGAGUAAUGUCUGGGAACUGCCUGAUGGAGGGGGAUAACUACUGGAAACGGUAGCUAAUACCGCAUAAUGUCGCAAGACCAAAGUGGGGGACCUUCGGGCCUCAUGCCAUCAGAUGUGCCCAGAUGGGAUUAGCUAGUAGGUGGGGUAACGGCUCACCUAGGCGACGAUCCCUAGCUGGUCUGAGAGGAUGACCAGCCACACUGAACUGAGACACGGUCCAGACUCCUACGGGAGGCAGCAGUGGGGAUAUUGCACAAUGGCGCAAGCCUGAUGCAGCAUGCGCGUGUGUGAGAAGCUUCGGGUUGUAGCACUUUCAGCGGGAGGAGGCGUAGUAUACUGCGAUGACGUCCCGCAGAAGCCGGCUAUCGUGCAGCGCCGCGGUAUACGGAGGUGCAGCGUUAUCGAUUNCUG
rnacentral:rRNA from 1 species